rnacentral:tRNA from 2 species
UCCACGGUAGCUCAAUGGCAGAGCAGCGGACUGUUAAUCCGUUGGUUGUAGGUUCAAGUCCUACCCGUGGAGCCA